rnacentral:rRNA from 1 species
ACUCCUACGGGAGGCAGCAGUGGGGAAUAUUGCACAAUGGGCGCAAGCCUGAUGCAGCGACGCCGCGUGCGGGAUGACGGCCUUCGGGUUGUAAACCGCUUUUGAUUGGGAGCAAGCGAGAGUGAGUGUACCUUUCGAAUAAGCACCGGCUAACUACGUGCCAGCAGCCGCGGUAAUACGUAGGGUGCAAGCGUUAUCCGGAUUUAUUGGGCGUAAAGGGCUCGUAGGCGGUUCGUCGCGUCUGGUGUGAAAGUCCAUCGCUUAACGGUGGAUCGGCGCCGGGUACGGGCGGACUGGAGUGCGGUAGGGGAGACUGGAAUUCCCGGUGUAACGGUGGAAUGUGUAGAUAUCGGGAAGAACACCGAUGGCGAAGGCAGGUCUCUGGGCCGUCACUGACGCUGAGGAGCGAAAGCGUGGGGAGCGAACAGGAUUAGAUACCCUGGUAGUCCACGCCGUAAACGGUGGAUGCUGGAUGUGGGGCCCGUUCCACGGGUUCCGUGUCGGAGCUAACGCGUUAAGCAUCCCGCCUGGGGAGUACGGCCGCAAGGCUAAAACUCAAAGAAAUUGACGGGGGCCCGCACAAGCGGCGGAGCAUGCGGAUUAAUUCGAUGCAACGCGAAGAACCUUACCUGGGCUUGACAUGUGCCGGACGGCCGCGGAGACGCGGCUUCCCUUCGGGGCCGGUUCACAGGUGGUGCAUGGUCGUCGUCAGCUCGUGUCGUGAGAUGUUGGGUCAAGUCCCGCAACGAGCGCAACCCUCGCCUCGUGUUGCCAGCACGUUAUGGUGGGAACUCACGGGGGACCGCCGGGGUUAACCCGGAGGAAGGUGGGGAUGACGUCAGAUCAUCAUGCCCCUUACGUCCAGGGCUUCACGCAUGCUACAAUGGCCGGUACAACGGGAUGCGACAUGGUGACAUGGAGCGGAUCCCUGAAAACCGGUCUCAGUUCGGAUCGGAGCCUGCAACCCGGCUCCGUGAAGGCGGAGUCGCUAGUAAUCGCGGAUCAGCAACGCCGCGGUGAAUGCGUUCCCGGGCCUUGUACACACCGCCCGUCAAGUCAUGAAAGUGGGCAGCACCCGAAGCCGGUGGCCCAACCCGCAAGGGGGGGAGCCGUCUAAGGUGAGGUCCGCGAUUGGGACUAAGUCGUAACAAGGUAGCCGUACCGGAAGGUGCGGCUG